rnacentral:sRNA from 11 species
CGUGUCAACGAUACCGGACCGAGCCCGAAAGGGAUAGGGAGGAUAAGGAGUUGAUACGUCCACUACA